UAGAGCCAGAAACUAGAAGGGAAAAAAAGAAUUCUUGAGAAGGCAGGAGAAAAGACCAUAAGAUCAGAAAAGGAUUCAUCUAAAACAAGAAUGAAGAUUUCUGGAAGUCUAGUGAGGAAAGGUUUGUUAAAAGUAGGAAUAGGUGAUAUUAGUAAAUUUGAUAGAUGUUGACAGAAAAGAUACAACUGAAAAUAGUUUAGUGGAUUUGACCAAUAGGAGAUCAGUGAUGAUUUAGGGAGGGUGUGUUAAUGGAGUGGAAUAGAUACAGGAACAAGAGAAAUGGUUGAGGACACAGAGACAAGGAUAGACUGUCCUUUCACAUAAUUUGAAGAGAGACUGACACAGCUUACAGCAAGAGCAAGGUUAAUAUUCUCUCUGUCUCUGUGUACGUAUACAUAUGAAUGAAUGAAAAUUUCAGAAUAUUUGCAGUUGAAAAAGAAAGUACCAGAGGAGAAGAUAUUGAAGAUAUAAUCUUAAAAGAUGUAUUUCAAGGAGGAAAGUCUAGAAAAGGAGAAGAAAUUCAGAGUUUUAGAUCUAAAGAGGAAAGACACUUCUCUCCAUAAGGAUGAGAGGGUCAAUAGGGAGAACUCUGACCUGUCUCCCAGCUGUGGAAAGAGGCUGACAGAGCAGCCACCAUGUGGAUGUGGCAGAGUGACGGAGAGGGGGCUCAACUCCUCAUGCUUAGGAUGAACUUCGGGUUUAAAGAUGGAGCAGGAUUUUCUU
rnacentral:lncRNA from 1 species